rnacentral:rRNA from 1 species
UAGUCCACGCCGUAAACAAUGGAUACUAGGCGGUCGAAGUGUUAACCCUUUGACUGCCGUAGCUCACGCAUUAAGUAUCCCGCCUGGGGAGUACGGUCGCAAGGCUAAAACUCAAAGGAAUUGACGGGGGCCCGCACAAGCGGUGGAGUAUGUGGUUUAAUUCGAAGCAACGCGCAGAACCUUACCUGGCCUUGACAUCCCGCGACAACUACAGAGAUGUAGCUUUCCCUUCGGGGACGCGGUGACAGAUGCUGCAUGGCUGUCGUCAGCUCGUGUUGUGAAAUGUUCGGUUAAGUCCGGCAACGAGCGCAACCCUUAUUCUUAGUUGCCAUCAUUAAGUUGGGCACUCUGAGGAGACUGCCGGUGUUAAGCCGGGAGGAAGGCGGGGAUGACGUCAAGUCCUCAUGGCUCUUACGGGCCAGGGGCUACACACGUACUACAAUGGCAAAGACAAAGGGCUGCAUAACCGCGAGGUGAAGCUAAUCUACAAAAACAUU